rnacentral:misc_RNA from 1 species
GAUGAAGAACGUAGCGAAAUGCGAUAAGUAAUGCGAAUUGCAGAAUUUCCGUGAGUCAUCGAAUCUUUGAACGCACAUGGCGCCUUCCAGUAUCCUGGGAGGCAUGCCUGUCCGAGCGUCGUUUCAACCCUCGAGCCCCCGUGGCCCGGCGUUGGGGAUCUGCCACGGCAGGCCCCUAAAACCAGUGGCGGACCCGAAGGCCCUCUCCUUUGCGCAGUAGCAUCAGCCUCGCAUUGGGAUCCCUCGGCGUCCUGCCUCUAAACCCCCCACAAGUCCGCUCCGGCGGCACCAAGGUUGACCUCGGAUCAGGUAGGAAUACCCGCUGAACUUAAGCAUAUCAAUAAGGCGGAGGA